UACGUAGGGAGCAAGCGUUGUCCGGAAUCAUUGGGCGUAAAGCGCGCGUAGGCGGCCAUUCAAGUCGGAGGUGAAAGCCCAGGGCUCAACCCUGGAAUUGCCUUCGAUACUGUUUGGCUAGAGACCGGAAGAGGUAAGUGGAACUGCGAGUGUAGAGGUGAAAUUCGUAGAUAUUCGCAAGAACACCAGUGGCGAAGGCGGCUUACUGGUCCGGUUCUGACGCUGAGGCGCGAAAGCGUGGGGAGCAAACAGG
rnacentral:rRNA from 1 species